AACGAACGCUGGCGGCAGGCCUAACACAUGCAAGUCGAGCGGGCGCGAGCGAUUGCGUCAGCGGCGCACGGGUGAGUAACGCGUGGGAACCUGCCCUUUGGUUUGGAACAACCCUGGGAAACUAGGGCUGAUACCGGAUACGCCUCUGCGAGGAGGGAAAGAUUUAUCGCCGAAGGAGGGACCCGCGUCCGAUUAGCUAGUUGGUGGGUAACGGCCUACCAAGGCUGCGAUCGGUAGCCGGCUGAGAGGACGAUCGGCCACACUGGGACUGAGACACGGCCCAGACUCCUACGGGAGGCAGCAGUGGGGAAUAUUGGACAAUGGGCGCAAGCCUGAUCCAGCCAUGCCGCGUGGGUGAAGAAGGCCUGCGGGUUGUAAAGCCCUUUCAGUGGGGAAGAAAAGCCUCGACCUAACACGUCGGGGUCUUGACGUAACCCAUAGAAGAAGCACCGGCUAACUCUGUGCCAGCAGCCGCGGUAAG
rnacentral:rRNA from 1 species